rnacentral:lncRNA from 1 species
GCGAGUACUCGACACCAAAUGGCCCGAAUCUAUUCAAUUCAAUUUCAUAAUGUAAAUAACACUUCGAGUAACUGUCACACCUCCUUUUUUACCUACACCCCCGGAAGGGCGUAAAGGGUGUAUAAGGGAGUUUUUCCAAUUAAAGGACAAUCGAAAUAGGAUUUAUUUAUUUAUUUAAAAUUCAGAGUCGCCACUUGGGAGAUUUAUGGUGUCCCAAGUCACCGGUUUAAAAUUCCGAAUCGGGAAAAUGUUGACUCUGUAUUACAGUCCACGAACCAGAAAUCCGAGUAAGGAAUUCUGUUAACUCGGGAGAAAGUGUUAGGCAUUCCCGAGUUCCGUGGUUCUAGCACGGUCGCUCAACUGUUAUAUUCGGCUUAAUAUCUGAUUUUAAACAAUUAUGAAUCUAUGUGCAGAUUUUAACUUUUGACCGCUUUUAGUUAAUUUAAGGAAGAUUUCAACGUUAUCUAAAACACGUCUUUGGACCACGCCACAUGAAAUGCACCCGCGGUCCGAGACACAUUUUAUUUAACGUUGUUAAAAUUUUAGAACCGGGCCACAUGAAAUGUACCCCGAGUUUUGGAAAUUAAGCAUCACAACUACGUCACGGGAACCAAACCCGUAGCCAUGAUAAUUAUUAUAACGCGCCAGAAGCACACUACAAUGUUCAUGAUUCUUCCUAAACUUCGAGAUUAUUGUGAGGCUCAAGUGUUAUGGAAGUCAAAUGUGGGAGCAAAGAGAUUUAUCUUUUACGGAUACAUUUGUAAUGCAAGAUUUGUUUAUUUGGCUCAUAUUCUUUCAACUGGCCAUCGAUAUAAUUUGACAAAAUUAAACUUCCCUUUCCUAAAUAGCCCAAUUACUGCAACUAUUAAUUUAAAGUAAAGGAAAACUAAAAUUACAUUAAAAUUCCAUUUUUUCAUACUACUCAAAGGACGUUUUGGUCAUGCUGAAUUGUUCAGGCACAUAAGGAAUGAAUUGAGUAAUCAAAUUUCUAACACAAACUUCAAAACUUGAUGGGAAAAGAUAGCUGUACUUAAAUUGGAAUUCAGUUACACUUACUAAGAUAAACUUAUUCACCUUAAGAGCAAAAUAAGUCUGACAAACUAGGUCCAAAUCUCAUUAUUAAACACUCGUUACCACAGAUCAAAGAAUGAUACAAUUAAUAAUAAGAGCAAUGAGUAAACUAAUCAAAUCAACAAAAUAAAUGCAUACCACAGGAAAAAAAACAAAACAAACCAAAGCAUUCAACAAGCUGAAAUAACGAGAUGAGAUAAAAUGAAUAACGGAUGGACCUUAAAUAUCUGCAAACUUUCUUCAAUAUCCGGAUCAAUUACAGAGCCUCCAACAAGAUCGUAUAGCAACACUAAAUAGAAUAACCCGCCAGAGUGAAGAAUCGCCAGGACCUUCGACUGGAUUUCUAACGGAAUCCGCUCGUCGGCGGCGACAUCGACCCCGAUGAACUCGAUUUUGGAGUCGCUGUUCUUCUGUGCGAGAAGGAGAGUAGUUUUAGGUGAUUUUCACAGCUGUGUUUGGAGCUGAAGAGGAGGUGUGGUCGCCGGACAUGGAGAAGGGAGAUUGGUUUUGAAGGUGAUAAACAACGACCCUAAAACUUUUUCCUUUCAAUCUGCUUUCUGAUUUUCACUCGAAACUGGAUCAUGAACGAAGAAACCAAUUUCGUCUAGGGUGGAGAUGGUCGCUCUAGGGUGCGUCGUUCAUGUCUGUUCCGUGCGAAGAAGAAGAAACAACGACGACGGGAUUUUUUGAUUCCGGCGAACUUGGUUGACGGGGGAUGCAGAGGAUCGUCGUCUGGGUGAUCGGCGUAAGCUCAGGUGCGGGGUGUGGUGAUUUCCGGCGAAAGGUCACUGUUUUGGGUUAUUCUGCUGAAGA